rnacentral:rRNA from 1 species
GAUGAACGCUAGCUACAGGCUUAACACAUGCAAGUCGAGGGGCAGCAUGUCGGUUGCUUGCAACCGAUGAUGGCGACCGGCGCACGGGUGAGUAACGCGUAUCCAACCUUCCCUGAGGUAGGGGACAGCCCGGUGAAAACCGGAUUAAUACCCUAUGCCGUCAACGAAAAGGCAUCUGGGCGUGACGAAAGAUUCAUCGCCUCAGGAGUGGGGAUGCGUCUGAUUAGGCAGUAGGCGGGGCAACGGCCCACCUAGCCACCGAUCAGUAGGGGUUCUGAGAGGAAGGUCCCCCACAUUGGAACUGAGACACGGUCCAAACUCC